GACAAAUUCUUGCACAAUUUAAUGUAGAUCGUUGGUAUAUAUUUCCUCAGAUAGAACAUGUAGAAUUUGUAUGCCCCCACUGUAGCAAAGGGGGCAUUAAGUUGUACCCUUGUCUGUAAGUACGUCCGUUCCAGAGUUAUACCCUUAUACAAAUGGAAAAAAAAUGCUGACUUUUUUGUUUCCGUUCUCUAACUUAAGUUUGCCACAACCAAAUGUUUUGAAACUUAUACACAAUGCUUAUUUCCAUAAAAUUCAGAACAGUUAGAAUGUUAUUGGUGUAACAGGUACUGUCAAUAAGUUAUGCCCCUUUAAAAAUGGAAAAAUGCUGAAUUUUCCGUUUCCGUUCUCUUUUUUUCGUCUGUCUGACAUAGUUCAUCUUACCCUGACCUCAUUUUCUUAGAACAUUGAUAAUGUUAAGUUAAUAUGAUACUUGUAUUAAAAUCUUUACAUAACACUUACAGAGUUUCAAAAGUAAUUCAAUUAUAAAUAAAACCAACCAGACAUUUCAGGGUGAGUCUUCUUGUUUAGCAGAUCUUAGUCUAGGGUUAAAGUUUUUAAAGCAUCAAUCUGUUUCAAAAACCAACAAUGAGUUGCAUUAAAUUGUUACUGUAACUUCUUUAUAGCCAUUUUGAAAGAGAAAGUAUCCUGAGCUAUUUUUUUUUUAAAUGUUCAUUAAGAUUUGUUUUAUAGAUAAUCAUGUUAUGCUCAUUGUUGAAGGAUAUACGGUGAUCUGUGGUUGUUUAUUUCUAUGUCUUUGCUCUCUCUGGUUGAGAGUUAAUUGUCUCAUUGACAAUUACAACACAUCCUCUUAUCUUUAUACAUAGACUUACUAGUAAUUAAGUUUUGGAAUUCAACUUUAUUCUUUUUCACUGACAGCAUCAGUCUUAGACACGACAACGGGUUAUGCGUAUUACCAUUUUUUUUUUGAAACUUCUGAGAAAUCUUACAUAUAAGAUUGAAGGGAGGGGUACAUUUGCUGCCCUCAACUUUAGAAGUUGUGUUAUGCUUAAAUUCUUAAAAUACUUAGUUCACAAGUAAACACAAUGAGAUACCACAUUUCUUUCAACAAAUUUUAUAAUUUUGAAAAAAAAAAAAAAAAAAAUCGAAAAAAAGGGGGGGUGCACCAUACCCAGAGUGAUGAUUUUUCAUUUUGUACAAGUAUAUCUUCAUUUAUCAUAUAUUCUCGUUUAAAAUUAACAAAUGUG
rnacentral:lncRNA from 1 species